UCUUGGUCAUUUAGAGGAAGUAAAAGUCGUAACAAGGUAGGCCCUACCCCCGCCCGGGCCGCCGGUGGACCCGUUCGCUAACAGUCCCUUAGGUUUCCGUAGGUGAACCUGCGGAAGGAUCAUUA
rnacentral:rRNA from 1 species